rnacentral:misc_RNA from 1 species
UAUGAAUCCGCAUUGUUUUGGGCAGAUAAAAUCGUUUCCCUCUCAAACGGGAACCCAGAUGAUGUUUAUUGGUACGCGCAGACUCUGUACCUGACUGGGCAGUACCACAGAGCUUCACAACUCCUGAAGUCAAAGAAACUGGACAAGACAAAUUCUUCAUGUCGCUACCUGGCGGCCAAAUGUCAUUUUGAAUGUAAAGAAUGGCAGACAGCUCUUAAUAUUCUAGAUAUGGUGGAUAACAACAGUUACCUCCCUUCCUUCAGCAAACACAACUUGACCGAAUCACUGUUUGAUCAGAGUAAUAAAGAGGUAGAGCAUUCUAUAAACCUCCUAAGAGGAAGAAUCUAUGAAGCCAUGGACAACAGGAAUCUUGCGGUCGACUGUUUCCGCGAGGCUCUGAGACAGGAUGUGUAUUGUUUCGAGGCGUUUGAUAUGCUGGUUCAUCAUCACAUGCUCUCCGCACAGGAAGAACGUGAAUUACUAGACACUCUCCCUUUUGCUAUACAAUGUCCGAUAGAAGAUGUGGAACUUAUUCGAUAUUUAUAUGAAAAUAGAGUCAAAAAGUAUGAUAAACCUAAAGACCACAGAGUCCCGGGGACCUUAGCAUGCUUGAAGGAUAACAUGGACAUUGUGGUGAACCUAGCAGAGAAAAAUUACUACAACUGUGAUUUCAGAGAGUGCUACAAAAUCACCACCAGGGUGAUGAGCAAUGAUCCAUACAAUAGCCAAUGCUUGCCUAUUCACAUUGCUGUCCUUGUAGAACUCAAGAAAGCUAAAGAUUUAUUUUACCUAUCUCAUAAACUUGUGGAUCUGUAUCCCAAUGAUCCGGUGUCUUGGUUUGCUGUUGGCUGUUACUACCUCCUGACAGAGAAAAGCGAACCAGCUCGGCGGUAUCUAAGCAAAGCGACCACACUUGACCGCGUGUAUGGACCGGCCUGGCUGGCGUUUGGUCACUCGUUCGCUGCGGAGAACGAGCACGACCAGGCGAUGGUGGCGUACUUCACGGCGUCUCAACUGAUGAAGGGCUGUCACCUCCCCCUCCUCUACAUCGGACUGGAACACGGACUAACCAACAAUUUCAAGCUGGCCGAGCGGUUCUUCAGUCAGGCCCUGACGAUUGCCCCGGAGGACCCGUUUGUGCUCCACGAGAUGGGAGUUAUAGCUUUCAAAAGUCAGGAAUGGGGCACAGCAGAAAGGUACUUUAUGGAUGCUCUCAGGAUUCUAGAAAAUAUCGGCCAACAAGUUAUCGUGGAAAAAUGGGAACCCUUGCUCAAUAAUUUGGGACAUGUGUAUAGGAAGUUAAGGAACUAUGACAAAUCGCUGGAGUACCACAAGCGCGCGGGAAUCCUCUCGCCCCAGAAUCCCUCCACAUACUCUGCUAUUGGCUACACCUACGUCCUGAUGGGGGACAAUCUAAUGGCCGUGGACUACUUCCAUAAAGCACUUGGAAUCCGGCGAGAUGAUCAGUUCUCGACGACUAUGCUAUCCAGUGUUAUAGAAACUCUCAUGUCGGAGAUGGAUCCUUGUGAAGGGGCCUCUGAAGAUUUCCCGGCUUUUCCGACUCCUGGAAAAUUAGAAUUUUCUCACAGCAGUAGUCAGGAACUAAGUGACCUUGACAUUAACCCUGAGGACAACUCAAGCAUGGCAAUAGAGGAAGUGGACAUGGACGACUGAUUUGUGUAACACCUCAGUUACUCCAUUGAUGGAGAAUAUGUGAUUGAAGAGUUGCACAGGGACAGUGUGUAUUUAUUUAAACACAUGACGCAAUACACUGGUAUAUACAGCUGUGCAGUGCCUGGCCAGGGCUCAUUGUCACACAGAGACAAUUACCUGAUGUCUCAGCCCCUAAACAUGUUUAGCCAUGUUAUGUUUUGGGAUAUUGUUCCUAAGACAAAGUGCCCUAAGAGAUCUGGAGUUGAAGACUAAGAGAUAUGAAUGUAUUGUUUGACAAGAUUUAUUGGUUUUACAUCAUCCACUCUUAAUUGGUAUCAAGAAUAAAUUUUAUAUAUCCUU